AAUGAGUGCCAGCCUCUUUCUCUGGUUGCGAGCCUCACUCACCAUCCUACACUGCAGUAGGUCACCGCUCCCAGCGCUCCUUUCUCCCCAGGCCAUCCAGGCGUGUGGCUUCCUACAUCCGGGCACCAGCAGAGGAUGUGCCAUCUUUGAAAAACACCAGCUGGAAAUAUAACGUGGUCUUGAAAUUCAAUAAGCUUCAGAAAGAAACUUUAGAUAGGGAAGAAGACACCUCUCUAGAGAAACUGCUUGUGGUUAGCAAGAAGGCAGAAAGCUGAAUUUACAAGUCCCCAGCAGCCCUUCGGGACUGUGGGGAUAAUUGGAGUGAAUCAAAUCCAGCAACAGAAUGUGAAAAAGACCAAGAACUAGAAACCUGACCGAGAGCAAGAGCCGCCCCUGUGAGUGUGCCUGGGAAACCCAGGAGUGGAUGUGUGCAUUGGAUGGCACCCUGCCUGGGCUGAUGGGUCCCUCCUUCCCGCCACCACCGACAAGGCAGCCAUUACAAGUCGUCCCUGUGCCAGGCAUUGGGGAUGCAUCAAGCAGGUGGGGCAGGUCUGGAUGCAACAGUCUAGCUGUGAAGGCAGGAGCCAGCAGAAUGAGCAGAGGGUUGAGGAUGCUUGGAGCUGGAGAAAUUAAUUCCACCUGCCAGGGUUGGAAAGCGUGCAGAGAGGAAGCGACUUCUGAGCUGAUAAUAGGAUUUUACAAGGUGAUAAAGAGCGUUUCAAACAGAAAAGAAAGAAGAGGAAAAACACCGCAAAGAUGUGAACAGAGGCAUUCAGAGAAGAUGUUACGGGGAGAGGAGGUGACUCGCUGGGGCUGGAGCUGGAUCUUACCUUGCACUGAAGAGUCAGAAGCUUCUGCAGAGCCCUUUCGUGCGCCUGCUACCCCACCCAGCUUCUGUGUGGAAGAGCUGACAAGCCCCAGAACACCCAGUAUAUCAAGAAGGUGUUGCAAAGAUGAUGGCCACCGUGAAGGCAGAGAAAAUAUCCAUGUUACUUUCCAAGAUAAACAAAAGACAAACAGAUUUGCAGAGAAUACAGCCCUGUGAAUCCAAGAUGUCCUGAUCCCUGGAAUUCCUUUUCGGAGACAGCCUUUGAGGGCCUCCUCCAGCUGAAAUCCUCCCUCUACUCAAAACAGAGCUCAGCCCUUCACCCGCCACUCUCCGUUCUGCCAUGUUACAAGGGGCACGGACAUGCCCACCGACGGAUGGAACACCCGCUUCGGAAGCGCAGAAUGUUUCUCCUAGAAAGCCAAGACAGAAACGCCUGCCGGUCUCCUCUGAAAUUAGCACCAUGCAUGUUGUGGAGAUCAUGUUGCUAGAUCAGGAGAUCUUCCCCCUGACGCCUUCAGAAGCUCAAUGUGAAUACUGGAACUGUCAGUGUUAAUAACACACUACAAUCCUGUUCUUUAAAAAAAAGGAAAAACCAACUUCUAAAGGCAGAUAAAGAGAAGCUAAUGGAAGUCAUCACAUGCAAUCUUCUCUAAGUAGCAGCUACAACAUCAAUAUUUAGUAAAAAAAAAAACAAAACAAAACCCUGUUUUGUUGUUUUCCCCUCCCCCUCAAUUAUUUGCAGGAAAACAGAGAAAUGUCUGCUACUUCUGGCUUGAUGAAGUUUGUUUUUUUGUUUUUGUUUUUGUUUUUUUUAAAAAAAAAAAAAAGAAAGAAAGAAAGAAAAGAAAAAACUCCAGCCUGGCGACAGAGCGAGACUCCGUCUCAAAUAAAUAAAUAAAUAAAUAAUAAAAAUAAAAAUAAAUACAGAUGAUGUUGAGGUUUUUGGGGAAUCAGAGAGAAAUACGUGGGAGGAGGAAUAGCAUCAGGAAGAAUGGCUAAUGGAUGCUGGGCUUAAUACCUAGGUGAUGAGAUGAUCUUUGCAGCAAACCACCGUAGCACACGUUUGCCUAUGUAACAAACUUGCACAUUCUGCCCAUGGACCCCUGAACUUAAAAUAAAAGUUGGAAAUUUUAAAAAAUAGGAAAAUGUACCUUAUCCUCGGUUUGUCAUUUGAGAAAGUGCAAUCUGGUGUAUUCACUGCUGUCAUAUAGUAAAGUAAUAAAAAUAAAAUAUCUUUUCAUAUUAUAAAAAUUAAGAGGGACUGGCUAGAUUGGCCAACUGGUUAAAAAUGUAGCCUGCUCUCCUUUCCCUCUCAAAGGCUCAUCUUUAGGGAUUGUCUCCCCUAAAAGUUCAUCUCUGUAAGCCUGUAGCAAAACAAGGGGCAAUGCGAAUCCAGCAAAUGGUUGCAUUAUCAUACGUGUCAAAGAGAAUUGUCUGCCUCUGAUCAUUCAACGGGAACGUGGAAAAGGUACCAUCUCAUUCCUUUGAGAUGGUAGCCGGGAGAUGAUGGCCCAGUAUCACAGCAGACACUGUGAGUCCCCUGUGCCCUGACGAAGGACCUUCUGAGCAUGUCUGGAAGUUAUCAGGUGCACAGCCCUGCAGCCCUGGAACACCCAGAUUAAAGAACAGACCUCUCACUUUGGGAGGCCGAAGCAGGCAGAUCACUUGAGGUCAGGUGUUCAGGACCAGCCUGGCCAAUACGGCAAAAUCCCUUCUCUACUAAAAAUACAAAAAAUUAGCAGGCGUGGUGGCAGGCGCCUGUAGUCCCAGGUACUCGGGAGGCUGAGGCAGGAGAAUCACUUGAACCUGGGAGGCAGAGGUUGCAGUAAGCCAAGAUUGCACCACUGUACUCUAGCCUGGGUGACAGCGUGAGACUCCAUCUCAAAAAAAAAAAAAAAAAAAAAGCCAGAACAGACCUCUCUCCUCACUGAAGAUUUCUUCUUCAGCUGAGCCAGCACCUUCAAGAGCUGCAUGCAGGAAACCAGGAGGAAAGAAGGAAGUUCACAGGUCAAGCCAAGAGAAGGAGCUUGCCAGUCACUGCCCAAGCACCCUCACCUGGAGCCUCUGAGCCCAGCAGCUCAUGCUCAGUGAAAGCCUUGGUUUGGAUAGAGAAAAACAGUCAGAGCCAAAGGCUUGAAUUGAACCAGAAAUGCAAACCCGGCAUCCUUUGAAGUUCAUUUACUCUCCAAAGAGGUAAAUCAAGAGGAAGGUUAGGGCCUCACAGAAUGAUGUAACAACAUUACCAGAAACACAUAAAUAAAUAAAAAUCAAACAGAAAACCAGUCUAUAAAGCCUCAUCUUUAAAGAUGUCUCAAACGCAUGGCAUUGGGCCCGUUUUCCGUGAUGAUGCGGAACUACACGCUAAUUGAAAGAACACCCACGAAGUGGAUCACCGUAAAGCAACAACCCUUCUCUCCUGGUGAUUAUGUGAUCAAAUUAUGAAGCCCUCUGAGCCAACACGUUUCAGCUUUUAUGAUGCAGUCGAAGACCUAUUGCCACCUGCAGGAGGGAGGAAGAAAGGGACUUUGGGCCAACAUCUCCUGGCUCCCAUCUGAAAGGGAUGUCCUUCUCCCUUUUCCACAUUCCCUUUGGAUGAUCAGAGGCAGGCAACUCUCUUGCACACGUAUAAUGCAGACAUUUGGUGGGUUCACAUUGCCACUUGUUUUGCUGCGGGUUGACUCAGAUGAACCUUUGGGAGAGGAGAGAAAACCCCUAGUUACAGGUUCUCUUUCUUACAUUCAUUCAACAUUUACAAUAUAGAAUGUGUCUGGUCCUGGCAUGAGUUAUUCCAUAUUUAUGUAUAUAUUUAGAUCCCCGACAUCUAUAAGCUGAAGUCACCAUUAAUAAUAAUGAUGCAGAGCUCUAUCUUCCCAUGCAGGGACUUAAGGGCCCUUUAAGAACCCCCUGAGUGUUCCUUUUUUUUUUUUUUUUUUUUUUUUUGAUGGAGUCUCGCUCUGUCUCCCAGGCUGGAGUGCAGUGGCGUGAUCUCGGCUCACUGCAAGCUCCACCUUCUGGGUUCACGCCAUUCUCUUGUCUCAGCCUCCGGAGUAGCUGGGACUACAGGCGCCUGUCACCAUACCCAGCUAAUUUUUUGUAUAUUUUUUAGUAGAGACGAGGUUUCACCGUGUUAGCCAGGAUGGUCUCGAUCUCCUGACUUCGUGAUCCACCCACCUCAUUCUCCCAAAGUGCUGGGAUUACAGGCAUGAGCCACUGCUCCCGGCCGAGAACCCCCUGCGUGUUCUUGAGAGACCCAUGAUGAGUGGAGGGAGGCUGUUCUGGUUCUUCUACCCAGAUGUCUACAUCAGGCACUCCUUUCUGCUGCCUCUACUGAGAAAGUCUCCUUGAGAAGAUCUCAUGGCAGCAGCUCGUUUUCCCAAGACUAGGAUCCAAGAACAGCUGCC
rnacentral:lncRNA from 10 species